UGUGGACACCUUUAGGAUGACUACAAACGGAACGUGGGCACGAAUAUAGAACGUCUCAGGGCUGUUGCGAUAUUCCUGCUUGAAUCGACGAGCUUGUUGUCAUAAUUGCUUAAUGGGGUCACCUUGCCUCUUCCUGGCCCUAGUCGUUGUCGUGUUCCCUGACGACAUUUUCAGCGCUGGCAUUUACUCCUAUGUACCCACGGCCGUUAGCGUAGCUUCUGAGGAAGGCGAGGUCUCGCAAUUUAUUCCGGCAGUGCCGUUAUCAAACAUCAGGUUUCCUUGGUACCAGGUACCAUACACAGCGGUUAAGCUAAACAAUCUUGAGCCUACUGCAGACACGUUAAGCAAUGGUGAAACAAGAACAAUCGGGAUAACAAAAAUUGAACGAGGGCCUUCUGUAGUGAGCACGACAACUGCUCUCGUUUUUGGAGGCCCGGUGGCUACCAAUCUCUCAGCAGAUUCCCUUCCACCAGUGGCUUCGAGUCCGCAUGUUACAAAAAGCACGCCUCGGCUUUCCUCAGGAAAAGGAAGCAAUAAAGCGACCCUGACUACUACUAAGGUUCCGCAUGUUACGUAUACAUCGACCAACACGGUAUUUCAGAUUCCAGACCAGCCACGGUAUGGGUGGAAACUUCCGCCUUAUAUUCGUCCUCCUGCCUUUAGGAAUGCCGUAGGAAACCUUGCCCCCAUGAAUUUGAGUCGAAAUGCUACGAAAAGCACUGCUCAACUUUCAUUAGGCGAGGGAAGCCAGAAAGCCACUCUAAUUACAACCAACAUUCCGUACAUCAUAUCUACACCGGCAAACACGGUAAUUCGUAUUCCAGACCCGUCACGGUAUGCACUGAAACCACCACCGCAUGUUCCUCGUCCUACCUUUAGAAAUACCGUGGAUAGUACCCCAAAAAGUGAGAACACGUACUACACAGAAAACCUGAUAUUCGCAACUGGUCCCAGUGAAUUUCAUAUUGAAUCACCUUCGCCUAUCGUGCCUAAACCCACAGUUUCUGCGUCUUCGACCAUACAUUCCUCCAAAAGUAUUAAAUAUCCUGCGAAAAAGUUCCACAACACACAUUCGGUUAUCGUUUCGCCUGGCCCCGCUAUAGUUCAAACCGCUCCACCUCCAUCAUUUUCAUUUAGCCAACCUCUCUCGACACACAGAACUAUGACACUGACAAAGAAGUCGACAAGUAUAUCAGAGAGCUCAGUUCAACCACCCGCCGCAGUUAUGUUAAAUGCCCCGACGAUAGUAAAUGUGGUCGUUCCGACACCAACAAUGAUCCCAAAAGCUCGCCCGAAACCUUAUACAUCCCCUCCCAAACAGGCUCGCCAAGAUUCCAUUCCUUCGCCGCUUGUGAUCGUCCCGCCAGCGCCCACCGUACUCGUAAAGUCUCCCGCCGCACACCCAUCCACGACACUGUUAGCGACGCGACCGACUACUGUGAGUCCAGCGAAACAAGUGGCGAAGGAGAAAAUCUCUAAGAAACCUCCCUUACCGGCAGGCAGAAUCACCAGGCCUCCAAUUGUCCUUCAAGCACCACCACCCCCAACAAAACGCAAUGGAAGUACAACCAUAAAAAAUUUUACCCAAACUACGGUUACAAAUUCGACAUUAAUUGUCUCUCAGAAUGAAACUUCUCGUCGGCAUGAUCACCACUCCGUCGCGCCUAAGCUUGUUCUCACUACUCGCACUCCAACUUCGCACAAGAAACCGACCCCAGCGUCUGUGGCGGCUAACUCGAAGCUCCAUUACAGACGAAUUGUGAAGAAGGUUAUUCAGAGCGCUGUUGGAGUAGUUAAACGUCCACCUGGCGUGAAUGUUUCACUGUCUCCCGGGGAACAGGCUAAUCUGGUGAAAUCAUCUAUAACGACCCAUCCCUCUCCCGUAAUCUUAAAGUUUCCGGGCAACAAGACAACUUCGCCCAGCGUCGUGGUUGCUCGACAUCCCACAAUUGUCGGAGCCGUUCCUACUGCGCCGACGAAAAGUACGACGGCUCCACAGAUCGUUAAAACAAAGUCGACAGCCAAACCUACUACUUCUCCUCCUACUUCAGGAAGCAAAUCGGCCACAGCCGCUCUCGAAGUCAACAAACGACAUGUCGUCGUGGCCAACACAAGUACUAGCACUGUGACCGAGUUGAAGAAACCGGGUAUCUACAAGUUAGCAGCAGCGUUGACAUCAUCAGCCGUAGCAAAUGCGAUGAAAGCGGCCGGACCCAUUACCGGAGAAGCGCGGGGCCCACUGGUUGGGGGAAGCGGUACGGAGAUCAUUGCGCAGCCGAUCGUGGUGUUAGAGAAUUCUACAAUGCAGCGUCCGCCACCUGUCAUACUUUUUUAAUGCCCCUCAAAACUUUCUCUUCGCGCCAGGUACCACGAUCGCACGCAACGUUACCCGCCAGCUGAGCACCUUUGUAGGACGAUAAAAAUUCAGCAGAACUGCCUACGAAGAUGCACGUUCUUCAGCGCCACCAACAAAAUAAAGAUACAACAAAAGAAAGAGAAGCUUUGUAAUUCAAUGAUUAUCGUAUAUAAAGCUUUUUUUUUU